GGGGUGGUAGCUCAGGGAUGGAGCACUUGCCUAAUACGCACAAAGCCCUGGGUUCAAUCCCCAGCACUGCCA
rnacentral:tRNA from 1 species